rnacentral:lncRNA from 1 species
AUGCCUGGGCCACAGGGUCCUCCUGGAGGUGCUGGUAGACCAGGUGUGUCAAGACCUGGUCUGAGAGGUCCCCCGGGAUUUCCUGGCCCAAAAGGAAAAAAAGGAGAAAAAGGACAAACAGGCUUGUGCAUUGUAGGCCCUCCAGGACUACCUGGGAUUACUGGCAGACCUGGUUCUGUUGGAUUACCAGGUCCUCCAGGAGAACCAGGUAGAGUAAUAUUUAGAACAGGCCCACCAGGACGUCCUGGAGAGCCAGGGUAUGCAGGACCUCCAGGACCUCCAGGAGAUGUUGGCAUGAAAGGUGAUGAAGCUUGCGUGUGUACUGAUUGUAGCUAUGUUCCGGGAACACCUGGUCUUCCUGGUUCGCCUGGGCCACACGGCCAGGAUGGCAUCCCAGGUAGGGAAGGAAUACAAGGUCCCAAAGGAGCUCCAGGUCCUCCAGGAGCACCAGGGUUUCCAGGAGCUCAAGUAAGACUUGCAUUUUCCAAAUUAUUUUUCAGAUCCCACAAGAAUUUCAUGGAAAUGUCAUGGCCAACAUUAAAUGAAGUGUCAUAUUAGGUGAUAUCAACAGUUUUCUGUUGCAGCCUCACCUUGAGUAUUGUGUACAGUUUUGGGCUCCACAAUGUAGAAAGGAUAUUAAGAAACUUGAAAGCUUCCAGAGGAAGAUAACAAAGUUGGUAUUAAAAAGGCUGGAGGGCAUGUCUUAUGAGGAGAGACGGAGGACACUUGGUUUGUCUAGUUUGGAUGAAAGAAGGCUAAGAAGCACACUCAUUGCUCUCUACAACUUCUUGAGUAGGGGAAAUGGAGAGAGAGGUGCUGAUCUCUUCACCCCGGUAACUAGUGAUAGGAUGCGAGGGAACAAGGGAACAGCAUAGAGCUGUGCCAGGGAAGGGGUUCUGCCUGAAUGUUAGGAAAAAGCUCUUUA